rnacentral:lncRNA from 1 species
GCUCGAGGCUGGACUUUAAGGCAGAGCACUGCAAUUAUAGUGCUAUGGCCUUGGCUUCCUUUCUCAUCACCCAGGUACAGUCCUGCAGUCCUCAGAGGAUGCCAGUCCCACACAGGGGGAUCCUUCUCCAUAGGAAAACCGAGGAACAAUGCAGGUUCGAGGUGCACAGUGGCUAAGCACACUCAGUCCUCAAGAUCUUUCCUCUCAAAUGCUAAUGCUACCUUCAGAUGGGCUGCUGCCUGCUACCAUUUCAACAUUGAGUCCUUUAAGAUGCCAUCAGAGAGAGGGGAAGCAAGAGGCCAAGAAAAAUGAAAGGCCCUGCAUGUUUUUCUUCGGGAAGGCUGUGCAGUCUGCUCUGAGGAGACAGAUCAACCUAGCCCUUCUCCAGGACGAACUCCGAAAACCACAGGAAUUCACGUUCAAAGGAUGACGCAUCUCAGAAUCAGGUCUGUGUGUAUGUGAAUUGCUUUUAUCUCGUAGGAAAGAAAAUCCCCAUCUUAUACGGCCACUUUUUGACAAAA